GGACACUCACGUCGGGGAUGUGGCAGAGGCCUUGGGGUGGGCUCUGGACUCUCACAUCGGAGAUGUGGCAGAGGCCUCGGGUGGGCGUGCACAGGAAAGGCAUUGGCCUCAAGUACUCCGUGGACCUGGCUGGCCCUGCCCGCCGCACUCCUUCACACAGGUUCUUUAUUGCCAUUGUCCCCGCCCGCAUCAAAGGAUCCCAGCAUGCUUCCCACAGCCUGGAAUUCCUUUGCUGGGAAUGGGAGACAAAGCCAUACUUUCUAUCAUCAGAGAGGAAAGGCCCAAAAUGCAAACAUGCAGCCAGAGAGAGGCUGUGGCAGGCAGGAGUUUCUGAGUAGGGAGUGUCAGAUCCCCUCCUACUGAGUGCCACUUUCCCUUCUGAGACAGCAUGGGAGCCGUCAGCCUACGAACUGGAGAGAACUCCAGGAAGGAGCCCUUUUCUUCCUGCAAUGAGGGCAACCGGAAGCUGUGGCCACGGCACCUGCUGUCCCCGGAGCCUGGGCACCGACGUAAGGGAGGAAGGCGGCGCCUCCCUUUUCCCCUGCCCUGGCCACAGGAGCCUCAGGAUUGACAGCUCAUCUGCGGAUGGCAGAAGGAAGAAGGAUGAGGAAGACUUGAGCCUGGCCGGGCAAUCCUUGGUUUCCUCAUGAACCCUUGCAAUCGGGUUACAUUUUGAACAUCACUGGGACAUGCUAAGAACUCCUCUGGAGCACAGCAGUGCUCACAUCAAUAGUCCAGCAGAUUGAGCACGGAGAUGUCAGCAGACACACUUGCAAGUUUGGUCUGAAAACCAGAGGGACCGUGCCCACGAUCCCCGCCGUUUCCCUGACCAGCACGGCUGUGGCGAGUUCGUUGUUCAAUCCCGGAUGGCUCAGCAAAUCCAACCCCCUCCGCCCUGUUCUAUCGCCGCAUGGAUCUGCAGAGGCAGCCGUUCCUGCCGGGUGGAUUUGCCUUCCGCGAAGGACAACACAGAACCACUCUGAGUUAUUUGACACUGACAUCGAUCCUAGUUGGCUGACUCUGGAUUCAAACGAACUCAGAGUAGCGAGAUCAGAAUACAUGAAUCUGACCUGUUUUUACUCACAACACCUCUGAUACCAAGUGCGUGGGUUUUUUUCACACCGAAAACCAGUUCUCCCAACUCUCCAGACACCAACUGGGUGGCCUACGAUUCCGUUCAAACGUGACACUAACUCCACAGGCUCCGAGGCUCAGUCCCUCAGGACUGCCCUGAGUUCAGACGCCAGCCUCCUGACUCCAGCCCAGGGUACCCACACUUCUGUCCAACUUGGCUACAAAGUUGGGGGUUUCCUACAUUCCCCCCACCCUCCCUCCCAGUUUCACAUUCAGUAAUUUGCUAGAACAGCUCACAGAACUCAGGAAGGCACUUUACUGGUACUGGUUUAUUAUUAAUAUAAAGCAUUGGACUCAGAACAGCCAGAUGGAAAAGAUGCUUAGGACGAGGUGAGGGGGGUGGAAGGCCAAGGGGCUUCCUCAUCCUCUCCAGGCUGCCACCCCUCCCAACACACCUCCAUGUGUUCACCAACCCAGAAAUUCUCCACAUUUUUUUUUUUGAGUCAGCGUCUUGCUCUGUCACCCAGGCUGGAGCGCAGUGGCACGGUCUCGGCUCACUGCAACCUCUGCUUCCUGGGUUCAAGCAAUUCUCCUGCCUCAGCCUCCCGAGCAGCUGGGAUGACAAGUGUCUGCCACAUGUCUGGCUAAUUUUUGUACCUUUAGUAGAGACGGGGUUUCACCAUGUUGACCAGGCUGGUCUCAAACUCCUGACCUCCAGUGAUCCACCCACCUCGGCCUCCCAGUGCUGGGAUUACAGGUGUGAGCCACCCUGCCUGGCUCACAUUCUGUCAUUUGGGGCUCUUUUUUUUUUUUUUUUUGGAUUCAUUAUGUAGGCAUGAUUGAUUAAUCACUGGCUGUUGGUGAUUAACUUAAUCUCCAGCCCCUCUCCCCUCCCCAAAGGUCAGAGGUCUGAGCUGAAAGUUCUGACUAAUUCCAGCUCCCAGCCCCCAUCCUGGAGCUGCCCAGUCCUCUCACUGACAUUCAAAAAACACUCAUCCCUCUGGAGAUCCCAAGGGUUUUGGAAGCUCUGGACCAGAAAACAGGAUCAAAGACCAAAUAUGCAGCCACGGCCCCAUCCACCUCUGAGGGCAUGUGCUCUGGCCUUACUAUGACGGCGGCGGUGGCGAGUCUGAUACAGGCGGGAUGAUGCACGCUUUAUCUGGAACCCUUGGCCUUGGAUAAAAUUUGUCUUCUGUAGCAGUUACGUCCAUGGAGCUAAGUCCAGGUCCACCUGCCAUUGCAAUUAUGGCAGGGAAAAGGACAGAGGGAGCUGACGAUUACACCUAACUUUGGAUUUGGGGCACCCUUCUGUUCCCCCACUUCCUGCUUCGCUGACACUCACACCCCCAAAGGCGGUGGCGCAGAAGCUGAAAUCAGGGCUCAGGACUCCAUCUACAGCCAGGCCCACGAGCAGGGUCUGUUCUGAAGGCUCCACCAGCAGCUGUGUCCCAAGCCAACUGGCAAGACACCGUCCCACCCGACAGUGGCUUCCUCCCCGUGGCGUCAUCUCCCUUCCAAAGAGGGAGGAAUUUGGACUAUUACCCACGAACGAUAGCAGGCUAAGAAACAAAUUAUGAUUACGAAAGAUUAAAGAAAAAAAAAACCACCCACACCUACUGGCUGUACCUUUCCUGCAUGAUUUUUGCCACCGCAUGGGAAGCGGGCCAAUUGCUAUUUGCCUGGGUGUUUUAAAUAUCAGGAGAUCAGGAGAUUUGCUCCUGACAUAAUUUUUUUUCGAAGUGCAACAGAAAAUAGCACUUUUCACAACAAUUAACUGUUAACUGGCUCCAAAGAAGGUCUGCUUGUUAGACAUUAGGGAGGAAUAGAAGGCAUCUUCUCAGAUGUUGGCCUUUGCGGAGGCAAGGUCAGUGGUGCCGGGAGGUGACUCCCUGCAUUUCCGUAUGUCCGUUUCUUAAGUCGCACUAUUACUUCCCUUGAGUAAGGGACGUAAUAUUGAGUAAUAUUUAUUGAGCUGUGUGUGAGAGACUGUUUCAGGCUCCGGGAAAACAGCGAACAAAAUAAAAACAAAUUGGCUGCUUU
rnacentral:lncRNA from 1 species